rnacentral:misc_RNA from 1 species
CCUAAGUUGCCCCUCCCCCUUAGGGAGACUGAUGUGAGAGGAAAAGGAGAACUUGUUAGUUAUACUGGAACUGUGACAGGAAUUUACAUGAGGGGUAUGAUUGUUGAGUUGGAUAAUGAACUGUUGCUAUUGUUAACUGAUCAGCAUCUUUCCGUUCCACAUAGUGUGAGAGUUGGCGCAAUGGUAUCAGUGAAAAACGUUCAUGUUGUAAAUCCAAAAUUUUCAUGGACAAAGACACUUAUACUCGGCUCUUGUGUUAAAACUAGCAUUUCUGUGGAAUGUUUCUCCUCGCUGGAAGCCGG